UCCCUCUCACCGCACCCCUCCCCAGCUUCUGUCAGUGCACUGCAUGUCAGUGUAGACACCUUCCUGGGGAGACAUCUGUCUCCAGGAUCCCUGCACCCCUUCCCAGUCUGGACUAGGUGCCCCUGCUUGUGCCUCCUCCGCCCUGGACUGCCACCAGAGUGUACAUCCCCUCUCCUAGUCGCCAUUCAGGAGCCUGGAGGCCCUGCGUGGGUGGGCUGGAAGGAGUUACAUUUGUGUGGUCGUCUUUCCCAGUAGUUACUCAGGGGACCCUGCCAGGCUUAUUCACUCUGGUGUCCCCAGUGCCCAAGUGGUGCCUGGUGCCUAGUGCCUGGUAUAGAUUGAUUCAGUGAUUGCAUGAUAGGAGGACUGGACCUCAUGGAUAAGUCUCCUUGGCCACACCAGUGAAGUCUAAGGGCAGGUCCCUGCCUUGCCUCUGAGACUGAGGCUCAUCUGUGGGCAGAAGGUGUCCCCUCCCCCUCUCCCUGAAGUCUGUCCCUCAGGCCUGCCCAGGAUGGAGCAGGAGGUGCUGGGCUCUCACAACACACACCUUUCGUGAUUUGCUGUAGGUCCCGCUCUGCUCAGUCCCUGGCUGCACCAUCUCCUGCAGGGAAUCUGCAUGGCAUCCUGGCACAGCCACAGCCGUGGGCACCAGCCAAGGAGGGAUCCCAUGGCCAUGUCCUGGCUGCCUUGAGUCUGUGAGGCCACACAGCCUCCCACCUGCAUCUCCAGGGCUCUGUCCCUGUCCAGCCCCUGGACCAGCUUCCGAGUCUACUCCUCACCCCAGCCCGGGGACGCCUCAAGCUUCAGGACUCAGUGGGGCACAGUAGCAGUCACGGUAGGCGGCGACCCCACUCUGCUCUCUCUUGGCUCCUGGGAAUACUUAGCUGAGCCUUCUUGGUCUCUGGAAUAGGAAGGAGACCUUUCUGAACACCAUAUCUGUCACCGUAUCCCUUUGGUUGCACAUCGCAAAAAAACUUAUUUCAAUAAGAUACAAGUAUCAGCUCAUGUAACUGAAGUAUCCAGAGGUAGAUGGGGCUUCAUCCAGCGGUUCAGUGUGGCCAGGACCUGUUUUCUGUCUGCAUUUCUCUGCUCCCUCUUCCUUGGUGGUGGCUCCACCUCUAUGAGCAUU
rnacentral:lncRNA from 1 species